rnacentral:lncRNA from 1 species
CAUUGCCUUACCAUCAUAGUUAAAAAUAAUUCUUAAUGUAGCUAAAUUCAAGAUCCUUUUGUCAAUCUUAGAUUUAAAAAAUCUUAAGAAGUUGGCUCUGAAUAAACAUACCCAAUGAUUCUAUUACAAAUCAAGUCAAACAAGUAUAUAUGGUAUAUAGAAUAUCUUUUUUUUAUAGCAAAAGUCUUGAAUGCAUUACAUUUGAUUAUGCCUAAAUAUCCAUACUUGUGUUUUAAAUACUUGAUAAAUAUUUGAAGAGGCUCAAAUAAUAAUGGCUCUUUUAUUUUAAAUAAAAUUUCUAUCAUUGCUUGAGCUAUGUGAGACAAAAUAAAUAGAGUAUUAGCUUAGAAAGUAACUAUUUUUUUUUUAACUUUUAAAUAUGUAUUAAUUUCUCUUUAGAUUAGAUCUACUUUCAAAAUAGGCAUUAACCUUAUGAUAGCACCUUCCUUAAGAACUAAAAUAAGCUCUAUUAGUACUUUUUAAUAAUGCUCUACUUUUUGCAAUUAGAAUGAAUAU